ACACAGGUGCUGCAUGGCUGUCGUCAGCUCGUGUCGUGAGAUGUUGGGUUAAGUCCCGCAACGAGCGCAACCCUUGUCUCUAGUUGCUACGAAAGGGCACUCUAGAGAGACUGCCGGUGACAAACCGGAGGAAGGUGGGGAUGACGUCAAGUCCUCAUGGCCCUUAUGGGUAGGGCUUCACACGUCAUACAAUGGUGCAUACAGAGGGUUGCCAAGCCGCGAGGUGGAGCCAAUCCCAGAAAAUGCAUCGUAGUCCGGAUCGUAGUCUGCAACUCGACUACGUGAAGCUGGAAUCGCUAG
rnacentral:rRNA from 1 species